rnacentral:rRNA from 1 species
CGGGAACUCUGACACAGGUGCUGCAUGGCUGUCGUCAGCUCGUGUCGUGAGAUGGUUGGGUUAACGUCCCGUAACGAGCGCAACCCUUGUCCUUAGUUACCAGCACGUUAUGGUGGGCACUCUAAGGAGACUGCCGGUGACAACCGGAGGAAGGUGGGGAUGACGUCAAGUCAUCAUGGCCCUUACGGCCUGGGCUACACACGUGCUACAAUGGUCGGUACAAAGGGUUGCCAAGCCGCGAGGUGGAGCUAAUCCCAUAAAACCGAUCGUAGUCCGGAUCGCAGUCUGCAACUCGACUGCGUGAAGUCGGAAUCGCUAGUAAUCGUGAAUCAGAAUGUCGCGGUGAAUACGUUCCCGGGCCUU